GACAGAGGAGCCAAGCGUUGUCCGGAAUUACUGGGCGUAAAGCGUGCGUAGGUGGUUUGUUAAGUCUGUUGUGAAAGCCCCGGGCUCAACCUGGGAAUGGCAAUGGAUACUGGCAGGCUAGAGUGCGGUAGAGGGUAGUGGAAUUCCCGGUGUAGCGGUGAAAUGCGUAGAGAUCGGGAGGAACACCAGUGGCGAAGGCGGCUACCUGGACCAGCACUGACACUGAGGCACGAAAGCGUGGGGAGCAAACAGG
rnacentral:rRNA from 1 species